GACGAACGCUGGCGGCGUGCUUAACACAUGCAAGUCGAACGGAAAGGCCCUGCUUUUGUGUGGUGCUCGAGUGGCGAACGGGUGAGUAACACGUGAGUAACCUGCCCUUGACUUUGGGAUAACUUCAGGAAACUGGGGCUAAUACCGGAUAGGAGCUCCUGCUGCAUGUUGGGGGUUGGAAAGUUUCGGCGGUUGGGGAUGGACUCGCGGCUUAUCAGCUUGUUGGUGGGGUAGUGGCUUACCAAGGCUUUGACGGGUAGCCGGCCUGAGAGGGUGACCGGCCACAUUGGGACUGAGAUACGGCCCAGACUCCUACGGGAGGCAGCAGUGGGGAAUAUUGCACAAUGGGCGGAAGCCUGAUGCAGCAACGCCGCGUGCGGGAUGACGGCCUUCGGGUUGUAAACCGCUUUCGCCUGUGACGAAGCGUGAGUGACGGUAAUGGGUAAAGAAGCACCGGCUAACUACGUG
rnacentral:rRNA from 1 species